ACGCUUGGAGACGGCUUGAAUAGGUAAUGAAGAAAAGCAUUAUUAGUCUUAAACUCCUCGUCAUCGAAUUUAAACUUCAAGUAUACCAACAAACUUAAAGGUCCUUCAAAGUUCAAGACCUAGCUUCGAUCAAAAAUCCUAGCAACGACAGUGAUGAUGUCAGAUAUUACAGCGUGUCCGGAACCAUAGAUUCCUUGCCUCAGAUUUGAACAGGACACCAGUCACAUGCCAGGCUCUACCAACUGAGCUGAAGGUUUAACCCCACAGCACUUACUCUUAAGCUGCUUUUUAAUAACUCAACCUAACAAAAAAUAAAAUACCUACAAUUGAGAAAAAUCUAUAACACCCAAUUACCAAAUUAAAUAUAAAAAAAACAAGAAUUUAUGAAAUACAUACAAAAAACGUAAUUUUCUCUUUCCUUCUCG